AUUGAACGCUGGCGGCAGGCCUAACACAUGCAAGUCGAACGAGUGGCGGACGGGUGAGUAAUGUAUGGGGAUCUGCCCGAUAGAGGGGGAUAACUACUGGAAACGGUAGCUAAUACCGCAUACUAUCGGAUGUACCCAUAUGGGAUUAGCUAGUAGGUGGGGUAAAGGCUCACCUAGGCGACGAUCGCUAGCUGGUCUGAGAGGAUGAUACGCAACACUGGGACGGAGAAACGGCCCAGACUCCUACGGGAGGCAGCAGUGGGGAAUAUUGCACAAUGGGCGCAAGCCUGAUGCAGCCAGGCCGGGUGUAUGAAGAAGGCCUUAGGGUUGUAAAGUACUUUCAGCGGGGAGGCGUUACCCGCAGAAGAAGCACCGGCUAACUACGUGCCAGCAGCCGCGGUAAUAC
rnacentral:rRNA from 1 species